rnacentral:rRNA from 2 species
CUUCGGGUUUUAGUGGCGAACGGGUGAGUAACACGUAAGCAACCUACCCUUUAGACGAGGAUAACCAUUGGAAACAGUGGCUAAGACUGGAUAGGAAGAUAAAAGGCAUCUAAUAUCUUUUAAAUGACCUAGUAAUAGGUAUGCUUUAGGAGGGGCUUGCGCCAUAUUAGUUAGUUGGUAGGGUAAUCCCCUACCAAGACGAUGAUGUGUAGCUGGACUGAGAGGUUGAACAGCCACAUUGGGACUGAGACACGGCCCAAACUCCUACGGGAGGCAGCAGUAGGGAAUUUUCGGCAAUGGAGGAAACUCUGACCGAGCAACGCCGCGUGAAUGACGAAGUACUUCGGUAUGUAAAGUUCUUUUAUCAAGGAAGAAAAGCAAAUGGCGAACUAUUUGGGUGCCGGUACUUGAUGAAUAAGCCCCGGCUAAUUAUGUGCCAGCAGCCGCGGUAAGACAUAAGGGGCAAGUGUUAUCCGGAAUUAUUGGGCGUAAAGGGUGCGUAGGCGGUCUAGUAAGUCAGUGGUGUAAUGGCUACGCUAAACGUUGUCCCCCUAUUCAUUCUGCUAAACUUGAGUUAGAUAGAGGCGAGUGGAAUUCCAUGUGUAGCGGUAAAAUGCGUAAAUAUAUGGAGGAACACCAGAGGCGUAGGCGGCUCGCUGGGUCUUAACUGACGCUGAGGCACGAAAGCGUGGGGAGCAAACAGGAUUAGAUACCCUGGUAGUCCACGCCGUAAACGAUGAGUACUAAGUGUCGGGUUAAACCGGUACUGAAGUUAACACAUUAAGUACUCCGCCUGAGUAGUACGUACGCAAGUAUGAAACUUAAAGGAAUUGACGGGACUCCGCACAAGCGGUGGAUCAUGUUGUUUAAUUCGAAGAUACCCGAAAAACCUUACCAGGUCUUGACAUGUUUUUGCAAAAUGAUAGUAAUAUCGUGGAGGUUACCAGAAACACAGGUGGUGCAUGGUUGUCGUCAGCUCGUGUCGUGAGAUGUUAGGUUAAGUCCUAAAACGAGCGAAACCCUUAUCGUUAGUUGCCAGCACGUUAUGGUGGGGACUUUAACGAGACUGCCAAUGAUAAAUUGGAGGAAGGUGAGGAUCACGUCAAAUCAGCAUGCCCCUUAUGACCUGGGCUACAAACGUGAUACAAUGGCUGUUACAAAGGGUAGCUGAAACGCAAGUUCUUGGCCAAUCCCCAAAAACAGUCCCAGUCCGGAUUGAAGUCUGCAACUCGACUUCAUGAAGUUGGAAUCGCUAGUAAUCGCGAAUCAGCAUGUCGCGGUGAAUACGUUCUCGGGGUUUGUACACACCGCCCGUCAAACCACGAAAGUUGGCAAUACCCCAAAACGGUAGCCUAACUCGUUUAUUCGAGAGGGCGCCGUCUAAGGUAGGGUCGAUGAUUGGGGUUAAGUCGUAACAAGGUAUCCCUACCGGAAGGUGGGGAUGGAUCACCUCCUUUCU